ensembl:snRNA U6 U6 spliceosomal RNA
GUCCUCACUUUGGUGGACAUACAUGAAAAUCAGAAUGCGACAGAGAUGAGCAUGGCCCCUGCGCAAGGCUAACACCCAGACUGGUGAAGCCUUCCAGAUUUUC